ensembl:lncRNA
GCCAAGGGGACCUGGUGAACUUUGACAUUAACUGUAGUUGGUUAAAAGUCACUUUAGUCGUAGAAAAAAGAGCACGAUUUGCCUUCCUGUCUUUUGGCAGGGCUGGGGACUAGAGAGUAUGGAGGUUCAGAAGCCUCCGUCUGAAUAAACAGAUCAUUACUGUGUUAGCUGCCUCUUUUGUUUUAUAGCCAGUGGACACUUGCAAAAUCGAUAUAUGCUGCUUGACAUUAGUUAAAAGGACAAACAUUAAUGUUUUUUUCCAUUGUUUUUCUUGGUUUAUAGUCGUAAUAGGGCUUUUAACAAGGGGGCUUUUUGAGGGAGAGGAUUUUUUCUCUCUCAAAUGAUUGAAUUUGGUUUAUUUUAUUUGAUGCUUUGGGAUGCCGCUCUCUUCAAAAUGGCAGCCAGCGGUGGGCGCAGGCGCUUGAAGUCAGCAAGCACCUCAACGCCAAUCCAAGCCCAUCUGCGUCAGAGUCCUGAACUCCCUAAACAUCUCUAAGUGUCUCCAGCAGUACUACCCGGAAUGUCUUCGAUAGACACAAUGCAGUAAAUACACUACUGAAUAAUUAUACAGAGAGGUAACUGAAUACACUCCAGCUCUUUACAUGGUCUUAUGUUACACUCAACUAUAUGGAUCCAUUUGUAAUUACAACAAAGAAAACCAGAUUCCAAUCCAUGCUAUUAACACCAGGUAGGACUAUCUUCGCUAGAUACACCCACGCAUUUAGGCUGCCGUCUCCUGUUGGUAAAUGUUAUAAAUCGAUUAUUCGUUUACUCAAUACAUCUUCUGUCGAACAGGUUAAAACGAUAAUCAAAGAAUGAUAAUGUUUUUCAAAAUAUUAUGUGUUUAUUGGGGUGUGUGCUUGUGUGUGUGUGCGCAUGCACCCACUUCAAAUCAAAUUACUCACAUGUUUAUUCACAUACUCCUAAACAAUUGCACUUCUAAAUAAAUACUAUAGAGAUGACUUCUCCCUGCGUGUCCCUAUUCAGAAAAAUCCCUACCAUAGCGUUGUGUUGUUGUCGUGGUGUCAUUCAGGCAUAGAGGUGAUCUUUGGAAAGCUGUUACAGGUCUUGAUUGCACUGGGGCUGUGGUGGGACUAGUGCUAAUUGUGCGGCGUGGUUCUGAAUGACUAAACAAGCUCAGUGUUUGCAGAGGAACACUCCUUCAAGAUGAAUCCAUUGUCACACUGCUUUUCUACCUUCCACUUGUCCUCGUCUCUGUAGGGAGCUGGUGGUGGUUGAGGAAGAGGAGGAAGAAGAUGUCCUGCUAGGUGUGGUGGUCCACGAGGAGGAAGAGGAGGUGUUGUUGCUAGGACUGAUGUAACAUGGAGCGCCACGAAGAGGAAGAGGAGGAAGAUGUCAGCGUGAAACUAGAAGAGGAGGAAGAUGUCACCUUGAAGCUGGAUGAUAAGGAAGAUGUUAGCGUUGAGAUAGAGAAGGAGGAAGAGGAGGAUGAGUAGGAGGAUGAGGAAGAUGUCAGCAUGGAGCUAGAUGAUGGGGAACCAUUGUGAGUGACAGGGAGGUCCCAGGAGACAGGAGGAGACUGAGGUGAGUAGGAUCUGCCCUUGACCCUGUCUGGCUUCCUGUUGCCUGGCAACAGAAGCAGAGAAGGCCAGGUUUGUCAUCACUGUACCGUCGACAACUCAAUUUAAAGCAGCCUGCCAUUUUAUUAUCGCCAGUGGAAACUUACUAGGUCUUAUCUUGUGUAUAUUAUGACUAAAUUGUGUUACCAUAAAUCAGUGCUGAGAUUCGACCCACAGUGAAAGGUGCUUAAAUAAUUGUACUACUAUUAUACUACACGUUUCAUCUUACGGCUAUGUAUGUAUUUUUGUCCCAAAAGCUGAAAGUGUGCACGAUUACUAUUCAAUCGCAACUAUUGAAACCCUAUGGUAUUUAGCCACUGAUAAGGUCUCCAUGAAGCGGGUAGUGGUUUCUCUGAUGCAUCCGACCACACCAGGCCCUAGUCCUCCUCUCUGUGUUGGAAGAGAAACUUGCGUAUGACUGGAAACAGUUGAACAGUACUGAACCAACAGACUGUGGCGUUGUUAUGCCUAGCAGAGUUUAGAAACACUGUGCCGCAGUGGUUUUUACCUCAGAUCCAUGUCUGUGGUUCUGAAUGUUGAGCCUUAGGGUGCUGGGUGCUAUGGAGAGGUGGGUACACGCAACACACACAAAUAAAUACUGAUAAAAUAUUUAAUCACUGCAAUCACUCUCAAUGUAUUGCUGCAGUCCACAUGAUAUAACCUGUACGAAAUAUGUACUAAAACGUGAUACAGAACAGCCCCUAAUAUGAUCGAGAACCUUAUAUUUGUUAUAAUUUGAUCAACUUGAGUGAGUAAAUGGUGCUAGUCUCCACCCUUAAACAUUACACAUUGUUAUACAUGAUUAAACAUUAAUGCUGUGGUUUAUUGUUCUUGUUUUCCUCAAGGUAUCUAUUGUCUCCAGCUCCUUUGCUUAUUUGUUUGUGAUUGUUAAUUUUUUCCAAC